rnacentral:rRNA from 1 species
UACAGAGGUCCCGAGCGUUGUUCGGAUUCACUGGGCGUAAAGGGUGCGUAGGUGGUGAGGAAAGUCGGAUGUGAAAUCUCCGGGCUUAACCCGGAAACUGCAUUGGAAACUACCUUGCUAGAGGUUUUGAGGGGGGACUGGAAUUCUCGGUGUAGCAGUGAAAUGCGUAGAUAUCGAGAGGAACACCAGUGGCGAAGGCGAGUCCCCUGGAAAACAACCUGACACUGAAGGCACGAAAGCUAGGGGAGCAAACAGG